AUGGAGACGGGAGCGAAGGCGCCGAAGAAGGCCGGGCGCCGGGCCGGCGGCGGCGGCCCCAAGAAGAAGUCCGUCUCGCGCUCCGUCAAGGCCGGCCUCCAGUUCCCCGUGGGCCGCAUCGGGCGCUACCUCAAGCACGGGCGCUACGCCAAGCGCGUCGGCUCCGGCGCCCCCGUCUACCUCGCCGCCGUCCUCGAGUACCUCGCCGCCGAGCUCCUCGAGCUAGCGGGGAACGCGGCGCGGGACAACAAGAAGAACCGGAUCAUCCCGCGGCACGUGCUGCUCGCGAUCCGCAACGACGAGGAGCUCGGGAAGCUGCUGGCCGGCGUCACCAUCGCCUACGGAGGCGUCCUGCCCAACAUCAACCCCGUGCUGCUUCCCAAGAAGGCCGCUGCGGCGGCUUCCAAGGAGCCCAAGGCAGGCACGACCAAGUCUCCCAGGAAGUCCCCCGCCAAGAAGGCGGCCGACGCUUAG
rnacentral:rRNA from 1 species